rnacentral:rRNA from 1 species
UACGUAGGGUGCAAGCGUUGUCCGGAAUUAUUGGGCGUAAAGAGCUCGUAGGCGGUCUGUCGCGUCGGCUGUGAAAACCUAGGGCUCAACCCUGGGCCUGCAGCCGAUACGGGCAGACUAGAAUUCGGUAGGGGAGACUGGAAUUCCUGGUGUAGCGGUGAAAUGCGCAGAUAUCAAGAGGAACACCGGUGGCGAAGGCGGGUCUCUGGGCCGAUAUUGACGCUGAGGAGCGAAAGCGUGGGGAGCGAACAGG